CCUACGGGUGGCAGCAGUGAGGAAUAUUGGUCAAUGGACGGAAGUCUGAACCAGCCAUGCCGCGUGCAGGAAGACGGCUCUAUGAGUUGUAAACUGCUUUUGUACGAGGGUAAUCCUGAAUACGUGUAUGCAUCUGAAAGUACUGUACGAAUAAGGAUCGGCUAACUCCGUGCCAGCAGCCGCGGUAAUACGGAGGAUCCGAGCGUUAUCCGGAUUUAUUGGGUUUAAAGGGUGCGUAGGCGGAUGGAUAAGUUAGAGGUGAAAUGUCCGAGCUUAACCCCGGAACUGCCUCUAAUACUGUUGAUCUAGAGAGUAGAUGCGGCAGGCGGAAUGUAUGGUGUAGCGGUGAAAUGCUUAGAGAUCACACAGAACACCGAUUGCGAAGGCAGCUUACUAAUCUAUAUCUGACGUUGAUGCACGAAAGCGUGGGGAGCAAACAGGAUUAGAUACCCCUGUAGUC
rnacentral:rRNA from 1 species